rnacentral:rRNA from 1 species
CAAGGAAUUUUCCGCAAUGGGCGCAAGCUGACGGAGCAACGCCGCGUGGGGGAGGACGCCUUCGGGGUGUAAACCUCUUUUCUGGGGACGCGGUACCCGAGGAAGAAGGCCCGGCUAACUACGUGCCAGCAGCCGCGGUAAUACGUAGGGGCCGAGCGUUGUCCGGAGUUACUGGGCGUAAAGCGCGCGCAGGCGGCUCGUCAAGUCUGGCGUGAAAGCCCCCGGCUCAACCGGGGAGGGUCGUUGGAGACUGGCGGGCUUGAGAGUGGCAGGGGUCGGUGGAAUGCCCGGUGUAGUGGUGAAAUGCGUAGAGAUCGGGCGGAACCCCGUGGCGAAGGCGGCCGACUGGGCCAACUCUGACGCUGAGGCGCGAAGGCGUGGGGAGCGAACGGGAUUAGAUACCCGGGUAGU